UGUUCUUAUUCGCUGACAUUUGUUUUCCAAUUGCGUGAAAUUUGGUCAUUUCCUUAGUGUUUCGCUGACCGACCUGUGCUGGUAUUGUGAUUAAGAGCUAAUACACAUUUUUCGGACGAUUCUGCUGUGCUGCGUUCCUGCUCCGCCUGUAUAUUGCUCCGCCCGUAUUUUAUAGUGUUGCGUUCCUGUUGCGCCUUUGCAUUAGUGUGUG